AGAGUUUGAUCAUGGCUCAGAACGAACGCUGGUGGCGUGUCUAUACAUGCAAGUCGAGCGAGGCAGCAAUGCCGAGCGGCGAACGGGUGAGUAACGCGUAAGCAAUCUGCCCCAUAUCAGGAAAUACCCGUGCCAACGCGCGGUUAAUGUCCAGGAGAGUGGCCCUCUGCAUGGAGGGUUGACUAGAGAUUUAUCGGUAUGGGAUGAGCUUGCGUCCGAUUAGCUAGUUGGCGGGGCAACGGCCCACCAAGGCGACGAUCGGUAGCCGGCCUGAGAGGGUGAUCGGCCACAUUGGGACUGAGAUACGGCCCAGACUCCUACGGGAGGCAGCAGUAGGGAAUAUUGCACAAUGGGGGAAACCCUGAUGCAGCAACGCCACGUGUGGGAAGAAGCAUUUCGGUGUGUAAACCACUGUCAUGAGGGAAUAAGGCCCGCCUUCGGACGGGAUUGAAUGUACCUUGAGAGGAAGCACCGGCAAACUUCGUGCCAGCCGCCGC
rnacentral:rRNA from 1 species